rnacentral:misc_RNA from 1 species
UACGGAGGGGGCUAGCGUUGUUCGGAAUCACUGGGCGUAAAGCGCACGUAGGCGGUCCGUCCAGUCAGGUGUGAAAGCCCCGGGCUCAACCUGGGAACUGCACUUGAUACUGACGGGCUAGAGUACGGGAGAGGGUAGUGGAAUUCCCAGUGUAGAGGUGAAAUUCGUAGAUAUUGGGAAGAACACCAGUGGCGAAGGCGGCUACCUGGACCGGUACUGACGCUGAGGUGCGAAAGCGUGGGGAGCAAACAGG